AACGCACCUUGCGCCCCUUGGUAUUCCGAGGGGCAUGCCUGUUUGAGUGUCAUUAAAUUCUCAACUCUGAUUUGAUUUGUUUCUUAUCGGAGCUUGGACUUUGGAGCGUGCUGGCGUAAGGUCGGCUCCUCUUAAAUGUAUCAGCGGAAUCUAACCUUUGGAUUCUGGACAUCGGUGUGAUAAUAAAAGUUGCGCCGUCGUUCUACUUCAAAGUCCGCUUACAAUGGUCUUUUGACAAACUCUUAUCAAAUUUGACCUCAAAUCAGGUAGGACUACCCGCUGAACUUAA
rnacentral:misc_RNA from 1 species